rnacentral:rRNA from 1 species
GACGAACGCUGGCGGCGUGCCUAAUACAUGCAAGUCGAACGCAUUUUCUUUCCCCUUAGCUUGCUACACCGAAAGAAAAGGGGUGGCGAACGGGUGAGUAACACGUCGGCAACCUGCCCAUCAGCGGGGGAUAACACUUGAAAACCGGUUCUAAUACCGCGUAGUUCCAUUUACCGCAGGGUAGAUGGGUGAAGGGGGCUUUUUCGUCCCUUAUUCAUGGACCCGCGGUGGAUUAGCUAGAUGGUGGGGUUAAUGACUACCAAGGCUGCGAUGCAUAGCGGAACUGAGAUGGCGGGUAGCCACACUGGGAGGGUGACACGGCCCAGACGCCUACGGGAGGCAGCAGUAGGGAAUCUGCGGGAAUGGAUGCAAGUCUGACCGAGCAACGCCGCGUGAGUGAAGAAGGUUGUCGGAUCGUAAAACACGGUUGUUAGAGAAGAACAAGGAUGAGAGUGGAAAGUUGAGCCCUUGACGGUAGUUAACCAGAAAGCCACGGCUAACUACGUG